UACGUAGGGUGCAAGCGUUGUCCGGAAUUAUUGGGCGUAAAGAGCUCGUAGGCGGUUUGUCGCGUCUGCUGUGAAAACUCGGGGCUUAACCCCGGGCCUGCAGUGGGUACGGGCAGACUAGAGUGCGGUAGGGGAGACUGGAAUUCCUGGUGUAGCGGUGAAAUGCGCAGAUAUCAGGAGGAGCACCGGUGGCGAAGGCGGGUCUCUGGGCCGUAACUGACGCUGAGGAGCGAAAGCGUGGGGAGCAAACAGG
rnacentral:rRNA from 1 species